rnacentral:sRNA from 1 species
CAGACAGAGCAGGAACCUAAUAUGCUCCUUGAAUCUGAAGAUGAGCUACUUGUAGAUGAAGAAGAAGCAGCAGCACUGCUAGAAAGUGGCAGUUCAGUGGGAGACGAGACCGAUCUUGCUAAUUUAGGUGAUGUGGCUUCUGAUGGGAAAAAGGAACCAUCAGAUAAAGCUGUGAAAAAAGAUGGAAGUGCUUCAGCAGCAGCAAAGAAAAAGCUUAAAAAGAUGAGGUUGGUGAUGAGGAAGAUUCGGAACUUCAGAAACUUCGUAAAUCGGGCAUGGCAUUUAAAUCUGGUGACAAAAAUGAUGAUGGUUUGGUUGAAAUUAAGGUGGACAAGAUGGAGGAACUUGAUCAAGAAAACGAAGCAGCGUUGGAAAAUGGAAUUAAAAAUGAGGAAAACACAGAACCAGGUGCUGAAUCUGCUGAGAACGCUGAUGAUCCCAACAAAGAUACAAGUGAAAACGCAGAUGGUCAAAGUGAUGAGAACAAGGAGGACUAUACAAUCCCAGAUGAGUAUAGAAUUGGACCAUAUCAGCCCAAUGUUCCUGUUGGUAUAGACUAUGUGAUACCUAAAACAGGGUUUUACUGUAAGCUGUGUUCACUCUUUUAUACAAAUGAAGAAGUUGCAAAGAAUACUCAUUGCA